rnacentral:rRNA from 1 species
ACGGAGGGGGUUAGCGUUGUUCGGAUUUACUGGGCGUAAAGCGCGCGUAGGCGGAUCAGAAAGUUGGGGGUGAAAUCCCGGGGCUCAACCCCGGAAUUGCCUUCAAAACUCCUGGUCUUGAGUUCGAGAGAGGUGAGUGGAAUUCCGAGUGUAGAGGUGAAAUUCGUAGAUAUUCGGAGGAACACCAGUGGCGAAGGCGGCUCACUGGCUCGAAACUGACGCUGAGGUGCGAAAGCGUGGGGAGCAAACA